CUUGGCCUGUAAUCAGAGCCCUACCCGCUGAACUUAAGCAUAUCAAUAAGCGGAGGA
rnacentral:rRNA from 1 species